GACGUAGGGCGCGAGCGUUGUCCGGAUUUAUUGGGCGUAAAGAGCUCGUAGGCGGCUUGUUGCGUCGGCUGUGAAAACCCAUGGCUUAACCGUGGGCUUGCAGCCGAUACGGGCAGGCUAGAGUUCGGUAGGGGAGACUGGAAUUCCUGGUGUAGCGGUGAAAUGCGCAGAUAUCAGGAGGAACACCGGUGGCGAAGGCGGAUCUCUGGGCCAUUACUGACGCUGAGGAGCGAAAGCGUGGGGAGCGAACAGG
rnacentral:rRNA from 1 species